AAACAAACAAACGGGAGCCUGGACACACAAUAGGCAAAGUGAAGACAAUCAGAUUGUCCUUUAAACCUAUGGAGCUUUGCUGUGUAUAACGGUCUGGUGAAUCCUUCCAUCAAGUAAAUAAUAGUCUGUGCAUAAAUCCAGAUGGAUACAGUUUGUGCCAUUUCAGUUCCUGUUAUCAUGCUUGGAGGUACACUGAAGUGCAGUGAGCCCCGGGGGUAUCCGAGGCCGCGCUGGAAGACCGAGCACAAGCAGCAGAAGAUAUUAAUAAUGUGAUGUCAACACAGCACACAUUCAGGAAACUCCAGGAAAGAACACAAACAAAACCCUGGUCCGAAGCACUUUUUGGAAAGGCUUUACUGUGAGAGGAUGGUAAGGGUUUUACAAGAGCUAUGAAGAAACGUAUUUAAGUUAAUAAAUUUCUUUAUUGAGUGUUUACUGUGUUUUACAAUGUGCUUUACAUCUAUUA